rnacentral:rRNA from 1 species
GACGAACGCUGGCGGCGUGCUUAACACAUGCGAGUCGAACGGAAAGGCCCUGCUUUUGUGGGGUGCUCGAGUAGCGAACGGGUGAGUAACACGUGAGUAACCUGCCCUUGACUUUGGGAUAACUUCAGGAAACUGGGGCUAAUACCGGAUAGGAGCUCCUGCUGCAUGGUGGGGGUUGGAAAGUUUCGGCGGUUGGGGAUGGACUCGCGGCUUAUCAGCUUGUUGGUGGGGUAGUGGCUUACCAAGGCUUUGACGGGUAGCCGGCCUGAGAGGGUGACCGGCCACAUUGGGACUGAGAUACGGCCCAGACUCCUACGGGAGGCAGCAGUGGGGAAUAUUGCACAAUGGGCGGAAGCCUGAUGCAGCAACGCCGCGUGCGGGAUGACGGCCUUCGGGUUGUAAACCGCUUUCGCCUGUGACGAAGCGCGAGUGACGGUAAUGGGUAAAGAAGCACCGGCUAACUACGUG